rnacentral:rRNA from 1 species
GAUUAUGGCUCAGGAUGAACGCUAGCUACAGGCUUAACACAUGCAAGUCGAGGGGCAGCAUCAGGUUAGCUUGCUAACCUGGAUGGCGACCGGCGCACGGGUGAGUAACGCGUAUCCAACCUUCCCCCUGCUCAGGGAUAGCCCGGUGAAAACCGGAUUAAGACCUGAUAGUUUCACUAGAUGGCAUCUGACGGUGAAUAAAGGUUUCGGCAAGGGAUGGGGAUGCGUCUGAUUAGCUUGUUGGCGGGGUAACGGCCCACCAAGGCGACGAUCAGUAGGGGUUCUGAGAGGAAGGUCCCCCACAUUGGAACUGAGACACGGUCCAAACUCCUACGGGAGGCAGCAGUGAGGAAUAUUGGUCAAUGGGCGGAAGCCUGAACCAGCCAAGUAGCGUGCAGGAAGACGGCCCUAUGGGUUGUAAACUGCUUUUGUGCGGGAAUAAAGUCAGGGACGCGUCCCUGUUUGCAUGUACCGCAAGAAUAAGGACCGGCUAAUUCCGUGCCAGCCGCGGC